GAUGAACGCUAGCGGCAGGCCUAACACAUGCAAGUCGAGGGGUAGAAGUUGCUUGCAACUUUGAGACCGGCGCACGGGUGCGUAACGCGUAUGCAAUCUGCCUUGUACUGAGGGAUAACCCAGAGAAAUUUGGAUUAAUACCUCAUAGUAUUACGAUGUGGCAUCAAAAUGUAAUUAAAGUUCCAACGGUACAAGAUGAGCAUGCGUCCCAUUAGUUAGUUGGUAAGGUAACGGCUUACCAAGACGAUGAUGGGUAGGGGUCCUGAGAGGGAGAUCCCCCACACUGAUACUGAGACACGGACCAGACUCCUACGGGAGGCAGCAGUGAGGAAUAUUGGUCAAUGGGCGCAAGCCUGAACCAGCCAUGCCGCGUGCAGGAUGAAGCAUCUAUGGUGUGUAAACUGCUUUUGUACGGGAAGAAACACUCCUACGUGUAGGAGCUUGACGGUACCGUAAGAAUAAGGAUCGGCUAACUCCGUGCCAGCCGCCGCCGUAAGAC
rnacentral:rRNA from 1 species